rnacentral:rRNA from 1 species
CCUGGCUCAGGACGAACGCUGGCGGCGUGCCUAACACAUGCAAGUCGAACGAGGCCAUUCCUUCGGGAGUGAGUCGAGUGGCGGACGGGUGAGUAACACGUGAGCAACCUAUCCUUGUGCGGGGGACAACCCGGGGAAACCCGGGCUAAUACCGCAUGGGCCGGAGCUUCGAGUGGAGCGCCGGGGAAAGAUGGCCUCUUUACAAUGCUAUCGCGCAGGGAGGGGCUCGCGGACUAUCAGCUAGUUGGUGAGGUAAUGGCUCACCAAGGCGGCGACGGCUACGGGGUCUGAGAGGACGACCCCGCACAUUGGAACUGAGACACGGUCCAGACUCCUACGGGAGGCAGCAGUGGGGAAUAUUGGGCAAUGGGCGCAAGCCUGACCCAGCGACGCCGCGUGCGGGAUGACGCUUCUCGGAGUGUAAACCGCUGUCAGAGGGGACGAACGGCCGGAGUGGGAAUACUGCUUCGGAUUGACGGUACCCUCAAAGGAAGCGCCGGCUAACUCCGUGCCAGCCGCCGCGGUAAUUC